rnacentral:rRNA from 1 species
AACGAACGCUGGCGGCGCGCCUAAUACAUGCAAGUCGAGCGAGAAGGUGUAGCAAUACACUUGUAAAGCGGCGAACGGGUGAGGAAUACAUGGGUAAUCUACCAUCGAGUGGGGAAUAACCAACCGAAAGGUUGGCUAAUACCGCGUACGCCUCCGAGUCUUCGGGUUCGGAGGGAAAGCUGCACUGUGAGUGUAGCGCUCUUUGAUGAACUCAUGUCCUAUCAGCUUGUUGGUAGGGUAACGGCCUACCAAGGCUUUGACGGGUAGCUGGUCUGAGAGGACGAUCAGCCACACUGGCACUGCGACACGGGCCAGACUCCUACGGGAGGCAGCAGUAAGGAAUAUUGCGCAAUGGGCGAAAGCCUGACGCAGCGACGCCGCGUGGGGGAUGAAGGUCUUCGGAUUGUAAACCCCUUUCGGGAGGGAAGAUGGAGCGAGCAAUCGUUCGGACGGUACCUCCAGAAGCAGCCACGGCCAACUUCGUGCCAGCAG